rnacentral:rRNA from 1 species
UACGUAGGGGGCGAGCGUUAUCCGGAAUUACUGGGCGUAAAGCGUGCGCAGGCGGUUAUGUAAGACAGGUGUGAAAUCCCCGGGCUUAACCUGGGAACUGCAUUUGUGACUGCAUAGCUAGAGUACGGUAGAGGGGGAUGGAAUUCCGCGUGUAGCAGUGAAAUGCGUAGAUAUGCGGAGGAACACCGAUGGCGAAGGCAAUCCCCUGGACCUGUACUGACGCUCAUGCACGAAAGCGUGGGGAGCAAACAGG